rnacentral:rRNA from 1 species
UACGUAGGGUGCGAGCGUUGUCCGGAAUUAUUGGGCGUAAAGAGCUCGUAGGCGGCCUGUCGCGUCGGAUGUGAAAGCCCGGGGCUUAACCCCGGGUCUGCAUUCGAUACGGGCAGGCUAGAGUUCGGUAGGGGAGAUCGGAAUUCCUGGUGUAGCGGUGAAAUGCGCAGAUAUCAGGAGGAACACCGGUGGCGAAGGCGGUUCUCUGGGCCUUACCUGACGCUGAGGAGCGAAAGCGUGGGGAGCGAACAGG